rnacentral:rRNA from 1 species
GAUGAACGCUGGCGGCGUGCCUAAUACAUGCAAGUCGAGCGAACGGACGAGAAUCUUGCUUUUCUGAUGUUAGCGGCGGACGGGUGAGUAACACGUGUAUAACCUACCUAUAAGACUGGGAUAACUUCGGGAAACCGGAGCUAAUACCGGAGAAUAUUUUGAACCGCAUGGUUCAAAAGUGAAAGACGGUCUUGCUGUCACUUAUAGAUGGAUCCGCGCUGCAUUAGCUAGUUGGGAAGGUAACGGCUUACCAAGGCAACGAUGCAUAGCCGAACUGAGAGGGUGAUCGGCGACCCUGGAACGGGGACACGGUCCAGACUCCUACGGGAGGCAGCAGUAGGGAAUCUUCCGCAGUGGGCGAAAGCCUGGCGGAGCAACGCCGCGUGAGUGAUGAAGGUCUUCGGAUCGUAAAACUCUGUUAUUAGGGAAGAACAUAUGUGUAAGUAACUGUGCACAUCUUGACGGUACCUAAUCAGAAAGCAACGGCUAACUACGUG